AUGGCAUUGUACUUUAUAAGAGCUGCGUUGUUUCUUUCGGACUCUCCUGAAAAAGAGCGAUUUUGGCAUGUGCCCCUUCUCAGGAUGGUCCUUGAAAUACAGCCCAUGAAAACAUAUAUUUCGGAUAUUUUUCAGACCAUAAGGGACUUCAGAAAAGUCUACAAUCACUGGCGGGACAUAGAUCUGUAUGUUGGAUGUGUCGCUGAGUGUCCUGUGGGCAACAGCAUGUUCGGGAAAGUCUGCACAGCAAUAAUAAUCGAGCAAUUUAAAAGGUGGCUCAUUGGAGACAGAUAUCAUCCCACCUGUGAUGGUCAGCCAGGACUAUUUCCAAACCAUCAACUCAAAGAAUUGAACAAAAUGAACAUGGCUCGUCUAUUGUGUCAUUACGGCGAUUUGACAGAAGUUCGGGAACAACCUUUCCUGAUGGAGUAAGUAUUCAAAACUUCAAUAUUUCUUGACGAAACAGAAGGCGCUUAAAAAAUUGAAAAGGCUCUCUUUAAUCAUAUAAGGUUCAGUUUAGGGCAUACUUCACUCACUGUCUCAGCUGAGAGAAACCCAGACGCGAUGCAAGGCGCCUGAACGCAACUUUUCCCGCUCAAUGGUUGUAUGAAGUAAUUCCCCCUUUACACGUUCUUACAACGCCACCACCCAUCUUAGUAAUUUCUAUGUCUGUUACAAACUAGCCACGUGUCAGGAGAUAAAAAAGGGAAUCUCAUGUGAAAGAUUGUCGAAAAAUAUCCUCGACCCCUGUAAAUCAACAAUAUUUUUAAAAUAUUAUGAAGAUCCUCAGAAUAUCCAAGAGACCAGUAUUAUUUCCAAAAUUGUUUAAACAUUUUAUUCCAACCUUGCACAAUACUACUGUAAACGUAUAUCCAAAAUAUCUUUUUAGACUUUCCACCGAAAGAACUUCGAAGAUAUUAUCUCGAAAAAACUUGUAUUUAAAUAUUCUAAAAAUCAUUCCAUUAAUAAUUUUUUUUUUAUAUAUAUUAUUUCAAUUUACCAUGCUGUUUUUGACAGUUAAUUGCCUUUCAAAAUGCCGACUAAUUGGAAAUGACAGCAGCUUCAUAAUAUUUUUGAAAUAUUUUUGACCAGUGUAGUCAAAAAUAAUUUUAGAUUAUUUGAAACAUAUUUUUUUCGAUUUGCUGGGAUUUCAAGACAUGCGAUGUUGCUCCCUGAAACUAGACUUUCCGUGACAGCAAGACUCAGAGAUAAACGCAUAUUGUAAAAAUGUCGGUAUUGGUAAUAACGCUGCGUUGCCAUCGAGACCGGUGUAUCAGUUACCACGAAAAUAUGUUUGUAUCUAUGACUAGAAAAUCAGGUAGAACCUCGACGUCACUUUGAUUAUUGUAAAAGCAACGAUCUUUUUCUCUCCGUAAUUAUCACGAUGAGUUAUUGUUGCAAAUAUUAUGACUGAAAUCAAAGUGGUCAGCAGUUAUGAAAAGGGGGUACGCCCUCGGACCACUACGCGGUUCAACCCUCAGGCGUCUCGCGCCCACUACGCUGCCGUGCUAAAGAAGAACGCCCUAUGAACAUUAGAGAGUUGCCAAAUUGCCCCGUAUAAAACAUGUAUUCUUAAGAGCAAUUUUGCGUAUGUAUCCUUGAAAUGUUCAGGCAUUUUAGACGAAAUUGUGAACAAAAUUGUCUGGAAAAAUUGAAGAAAAAAAAUCACGAUUUUCCCAGUAAAUUAAGGUUUUAUUGAAGGAAUUGUGGCAGCGCCUGAAGGUUCAUAUGACGUUCUUCUUUAGCAUGGCAGUAUGGCCCGCUUUGUGGGCUCUAGUGAGUUAGUGUAAACAAAGCGGGCUCAUCUAUGGAAUGUCUCCUAUCGAUCACCUCAAAAAUUAUAAAAAUUGGCCAAGCAGAUCUUUCAAACGAAAUGCAACAAAAAUAGAUAAUUUGCAUUGUUUAAAUGGGACGAUUAGGAACUUUAUACGUAAUACAAAAACCUGGGUCAUAUUUUCAAGAUCUGGAUAAAGCACGCUAAUUUUGGGACACCUGUCGAUUGCCCUAAAAAUCAUGGAAAUCGGCCCAGUAGAAUGGCUGAAUGAUGUUGAACCUCUAAAUGAAGUGGACGUAUUUCUAUCAAACGGAACUGUCUGCAGGUGAGAGGGGUGUGCUCUAGAAAGCUGCAUAAGAAGCAAUGUAAAAGUGGGCGUGAUUCCUUUUGAAGAAUUGGAAAAGCAGGAUUUUACAUUCCACCAAAAGGAACUUAGCGCCAACUGAAUGCGGUACUCAUGAUCCAUGAGCCGUGGGCAUGGGAAAAGAGCGUUGUGGACAGGGCUCAUGAGUUAAAGCGGCCCAUAAGCGACAACGGCGACGGUUUCUUCGCCACUGACGUCACUGGCGCUUCAUUAUUCUCAUUCACUCUUACGGCUAGAGAACUAACGAGCACACCCCAUAUUUCCCACCUGCUCGUAGGUCUGUUGAUAGAAAUACGUCCAAGUGUGACAUGCAAGAAAUGAAAAUUUAGGGAAUCAGAGAGCCUAUGGUUAUGUUUUCUCUUUAAUUUCUGUAUUGCAGCUCAAAAAAAGUAAAGUGCAGCUCAAUGCCUGAAGUCGAUUGGAAUGCCUGGAAAUCUUUGGCCAAUGAUUCAUCACAGAAAAAUUGAAUUUGAUCAACUCAUCAAAAUUAAUUCUCAUGUUUUUGGAGCGGGCAGCUUCGUGAUUGAAGCUUUAAUCACUCGAAAAUCCGAGAUUUUACUCGAUUUGUCUCUAUUCCUCUGGUCCGUCGUCUGAGCCAUGUGCUGUUUGCCAAACUACCACCUCGGAGUUGUUGCUCAAAACUUUCAUUUGUAAUGUAAGCUUUAUUUUGCCCAGUUUAAGUCCAUUGCCGCUGGUUGUAAUUCAAGUAAGACAACUCAACUUUGAAAGUUCAGCCCUGAUUGAAGAAUAAAUAAUUUCUAAAUUUUUUCAUUGCUUAUUUUUUUAAAUCUUGAAACAUCUUACACUAAAAAGGAGCGGCUGCGUUACUGCCAAGAAUAUUUCCGUGCAAUAUUUGUUUGGAAACGUUGCGUCAACAUUAGAGCAACGUACCUCAAAAGACUUAGUCCUUAUUCGUGAAGCAGCAUUGCAUAGAUGUUUUGGUUGCAUAUUUCUGUUUAUAUUUUUCAACAUUGUUAGUCAAUCAUAUGGUCGGAGGAUUAUUCUUUCAAUAUCUCUGUUGAUAUUGUCUACCUAAAUUGCGAACGUAAAAUGGACGUAUUUAUGCUAAAAAGAACUAUGUGCAAAGGGUUUGCGUGAGGCAUAGUUCCUUUUGGCAUGAAUACGUUCAAAUUGCAUUGAAACUUGAUUAAAAGGGACGUUAAACACGCUUGAAAGUGAUUUCCCCACGUUGCCUCGGCAAUAUUCCUGCGGCAUUCGCUUGAAAUAACUUAUUGAAAUUUUCUCGUAAAUUACGUUAUUUAAACAUUGUUGCGACGUUGCUUCAGACAGUUGCAGCUACCCACAUAGAGUACAUAGAGUCGUAAAGUUAGUAAAGGAAAGCUGGCGCCACUUUUCAGCACUAUCCAGGUCCCGAAUUCGGAGACUCCUAUAUUACGCCGGGUCACUUUUUCGAUACAUAAUCGAUUGUUUUCGAUACACGGGGACCCGGCCAUCCGAUGUAAACAAAUAAAAGAAGAUAGGAAUGGACCACUAGACAAGGUACGAAUUUCAGCAUUCUAAUACAUGUUUCUUAACCAAAUUUCACGUAGAACACGAUGCGCUCAACAAAAAUCACCGAAACCAAUACCUUACGAGGAUAUUUAAUGAUUCUUAAUGCGUGAAUUCAAAACAUCCGCUCAUGAAAGCUCAAUGCUCUAUGUGAUUCACAUCGCGCGCUAAACGUUAUCACGACAGUCUCUGUGAUAUAAAAAUCUGGCAACCUCGAUCUUGACGCUUUGGCUCAGCUAUAGCAAAUUGCUAGUAGCUUGAACAACACAUGGUGGGAAAUGAACAUUGCUCGAUUGAGAAGCUUGCUGAAACCGUUGUAGUGCGCGAUUGACUCACGUAGAGCUUUGAGUUUCUUAUGAGCGGGAAGUUCAAAUUCCUCGUAACCAAUGUAAAAUAAAACGUUAAUGUCUUCGUUAGGAGUUGAUUUCAGUAAUUUUCGUUGUGUUAAUCGUGUUUUACGUGUAAUUCUGGUUAAAAAACAUGUAUCAGAUUGCUUAAAUUCGUACCUUGUCUAGUGGUCCAUUACUCACGUAUUCCACACCGCCAUUUUGGAUCGAACAUGAAUUGAACCGGAAAAGUGAUCGAAGCGCGGCGCACACCGGGCUCGGAACUUGUCGACCAGAACAUGGCGCCAGCUCUCCCAUUUACAUUACGACUCAAGGUACUCUAUGGCUAUACCCCUUGCAAUGUAUCUGUAACAUUAAUUUACUGGAUAUGGGAUCAUUAUCAAACUUAAGCACCUAAUUUUAAUGAGAGACACUUUGUAAUCAUUACACAGCUAUAUGGAUCGUACUUUUUGCUACGGCUAAUUACUACUAAUAAGCGAAAUAUUGUGUUAUAGUAUUUCUCCUUAUUUUUCUCAAGUAUAGGAUUAAAUAUUAUCUAUGGCACGCAAACACUUUUUUAUUUACGAAAAUAAAUGUGUACGUUUACAUUUGCAAACGUGGACAUCAAGGUAAAUACAAACAGGAAACAAAUACAAGUAAAACAAUUCGAAACCCUAAAUUACACACUAAUUAAAGUAAGAUCAUGCGUGUUUGAAACCAACCACGCGAGGUAAUCACAGGCUUAUUUAGACACUCAAAUUUGAAAUUUCACGAAGAGGAACUGUCACGGAGUCACUCUAGUCUGACCGACUCUAGAUCGUAGGAAUUUGAACACAAUUCAGAGGGAGACGCAUCAGACCAAGAUCAAAACCUUUCUAAUGAAACUCACACUGAAAAUAGACUUAUUUAGUGACUACGUCAUUCGAUAUGAUAGAACUCUUGGCUUAAACCAAAAUGAAUGGCUCAUGCACGAAUUUUUCAUGAGUUGAUUGUGUCAAUUUAUUAAAAUUUAGUCAUUGACCGGCCAUAAGUCAAUUUAAGACUCAUUAAACUCUGGGAAUUUCGAUUGUAAGAAAUUGACGCAUGUUACACUACCAUGGCGCAAAGGACGCGAAUCAGAAACAAGAUUCUGCGUUUGUUAACAUUUGAACCAAGGGUUCGAUUGUAUAUCGAAUGACGUAGCCACUAAAUCCAGGGUUGUCAUUUUUCAUGAAAAUUAAUUCUUGUGAUUUCAUGAAAUUUCAGAAAAAUAUGAAAAAUAUUUUUUGCAAUAAAAUGCAAAAUUGAUAUAUAAAUUGAAUAUGAAACGGCCCUAAAACUUAUCCCUCAGUUUUUAUGCUCAGGGUGGCCAUUCGGUGUCGUAAUGGUAUUGUACACUGAAAAAAAAUUCUCAGCGUUUUUACCAAGGUCC
rnacentral:lncRNA from 1 species